UGGGGCGGCCGGCCUGGGCCCAACCCCCCACACCCUCCAGGUCCAGGCCCCGCACGUUCGUCUCCCGUUCGCACCUCGCCUCUGGGCCAAGCCGCAGCUUCUUCCCCAUCGGGCGCUCUCCGCCUUCAGUACCUUUUGCACCCCCCACUCUCAGCCCCAGCAUCCCCAGGGAGGUUCGGAAUGAGCGCCAGAUCGAAGCCUCCCGGGCCCUUUGUUCCCAAGCGGCCCCCGCCCAGUGGGCGACGCUCCGUGUGUCUUCGCGGCUGCAGGCCGUGUGUGUGCGGUGAGCGCUUGUGUUUCUGGAGGUCUGCACGUAUUGGUGCUGGGUUAGAGGGGCGGGACUGGGGCUCCAAGAGUUGUGUUCAGACCAACUCCUAACCUCAGGAGACCUUCCUCGGGCCAAGCAGGGUCUGCUCCCCUCCUGCCGGUGCGGUAGCCGCACAGUGAGAUACACCACUGGCCCCACCGCUCCCUGUACUCAGUGCACCCCCAAAAUGCUCAUAGUGAAGGUAACGGGGGACAGAAUAGCCAAAAGACUCUGAAUCCCUUUCCUCCAUUAGAAGCACAGAACUAAGCGCCCGGAGGUUCCAGGCCGAGGCCAGCUCGGGACCAAUGCUCCCGGUGGCUUUCAGCUGCUGGAGAACUGGCCCUGUUUUUGUUUGAACGUUUUGUAACGAUUAAGCAGAUCCCGGCGUCAGCUCGCCGCGAAGAGGCUCAAACAGGCAUAAAGUGCGACCCCAAGUGGCCACAGUGCGCAAAGGCGCCCAGAACCGUUCGGUCCACAGCCGGAAGGCUUGGACGGCGCUUCGGACCCAGCCAAGUCUCUACCUGGCCCAACGUGAGCCAGCCUGGAACGCGGGCUGUGUGUGACCCGGAGGCCCGUACAGGUGCUCCUCGAGCCACGCGUAGGUCCUCUAGUCCCGUCUUCGGACUCAGCUGCUAGCCCCGCGCUGGUCGCCCCCGCUGAAAUUCCGUUUCCCAGCCUUCCGGGGUGCCUGUUGGCUGCUCCCGGUGAGGGAAGUUCCUGGGCGGGGAAGGGCCAAAGGCCAAAAGUGGAAAUAACACAGCGAGGGGGCCCGGGGCGUCUGGUGAGAAAUCUCCCCGGAGCGCAGACGGGAAAGAGGAACGUAACGUGUUAGGCAUCCAGACACCGUUCCAGCAUUGCGCGCCCUCCCUACCCCGAUCAAGAAUGGCGGGAAAUAGGUCUUUUCGAGACCCUUGCCCGGACGCUGAAGCCAGAUAAAUCGCGAAUUCGCUGGAUCCGGAGUCCCGACCCGCCUCCCGCGUCGCCUUACGCUUUCCAGCUUUGGGCGCGCGCUGCGAAAAGCAGGAGAAGCGUGCACUGGGAAACUGCAAACCUUCCCCGUGUAGCUGGAAGGAUGUUGUGACAGCAAUGGACCCACAAUGCAGGGAGGAGGUGGGGAGAAGACGAAGGGCAAGGAGGAAAAGAUCCAUCCAGCUCACUCUGGUGGUUAUCAGCUCACAUCGGAGAUUUUUACAGGGAUGCCGGCCACAGGGGACAACUGCGUCCAGGGAAGAGGGAAACGAGCUGCUGUGACAAACCCGAUGUCGCCCUUCAUGCACUUGCCACCCUGGGAAAAUCAUGACAGCAUCCGAGCUACUGAACAAGGAGGUGACCAGGAGGACAGGGAGCAACCCAUCAAGUGAAGUCAAAAAUCAAGAGUUCAAGUCUCAACUCAGGUACGUAUUUUAGGACAAUCUCAUUGUGUCACGAUCUUCCUGCCUCAAUCUUCCAAGUAUCUGGCAUCACAGCCACAUAUCACCACACUUGGCCUUUAGGUUGGACUGGAAAUCAACCCUGGGCCUCUUAUGCAGCCCCAGCCUACAGAGCAUAGCUUCUUGGUGAGCACUCCCACUACAGCUGAGCCCCAUACAUUUGUUCACUUAUGGCAAACACUUUGGACUCAGAGACUCUUCCUUGAUCCAGUGUUCUAUAAUUCAUUGCCAUUGAUGUCAUCAUUUGAUGCUUGAAUUGCAUGAUCUCAUGGAAUCCUCAUGACAACUGGGUGAUAGGGCCACUGUUAUCUGAGACAACCAGGCUUCUACUUCAGGCCCUACAGCUGCAUCAGGCAUUCAGGGGGACUUUGCCUCCUGACUCCCAGACCCAAGCACAGUCCUGCUUUCCCACCGGCAAAUGGUCAGUGCAAUGUCUUUGUGGACAGGAAGGUGCAAUGUCCUGGGAAUACAGGAGCCCACCCACAGCCUUAUCAACCCUCAUGGGAAUAGUCUUGCAGGGCAGAAGGGCAUGAUUUUCCUAGAACUCUCUUCUAGUACUCUCUUAUUCUGUCUGAGGCAGCUCAGCCUGAAGGCAUGGAGGUCAUUUACCUUGUGUAAAAUGAGUCCGUUUAUUGGAUUUUCCACUGACAUGAUGCCCCCAGGAAUCCUUGACACAGGCCAUUUUUUAAAAUUAGUGAAUCUGACUGUAUGAGAUUGGUCACUCCUAAGUUCAUCACCCAACAAAUUUACUGAGCACCUACUGUGUGCCAGGCCCUGAGCUACCCUAAAGUUAAAACAGGAAGUAAGUUAAUUAAGUCAAACAGGGUCCUUGUUCAUGGAAUUGAUGUUCAAGUGAAUUGUAAUCAAAUCAUCCCCCAAACUCCAAAACAAAAAUCUUAUGAUGGCAAGAAUGAGGUCUAUAGAGGAAGGUAUUGUUUCUUUUUUUCCUUUUUUUUGGGAGAGGUUUUUGCUAUAGGACACAUGCACU